UCCAAAUCUUUUCACCAAAAGGUAUAUCAUAUCAUGCAUCACUCACUCUUCACUUGAUCAAAUCAAAUUUCACAAUCUACCCCGAUCCGAUCAACACACUCAUCUUUCCACCCACCCACAAGAUCUCCUUCAAAACCCUUCAAUCAAUCGAACCAUAACUUUCUUGAGCCGCAUGUGAAAUUGUUGUUCCAAUUGGUGUUUAAUGGCGUCCCAGGUGUGGAGGGAUGCUUACAGGGGCAUGUCUAGUGAUAAUAUUAAGGGCUUGAUCUUAGCAUUGUCUUCUAGUUUGUUCAUUGGUGCCAGUUUUAUUGUUAAGAAAAAGGGUCUUAUAAAAGCAGGGGCUUCUGGUACUAGGGCAGGAGUUGGAGGAUACUCGUACUUAUUGGAACCUUUAUGGUGGGUAGGCAUGAUAACAAUGAUCGUUGGAGAAAUAGCGAAUUUUGCAGCUUAUGCGUUUGCACCGGCAAUUCUCGUCACUCCUCUUGGGGCACUCAGCAUUAUAAUCAGCGCUGUACUUGCAUAUAUUAUUUUGCGCGAGAAGCUGCAUAUUUUUGGAAUUCUUGGUUGUGCUCUAUGUGUUGUGGGCUCCACAACAAUCGUUCUACAUGCUCCUCAGGAACGUCAGAUUGAAUCAGUGGCAGAAGUAUGGGAUCUUGCUACAGAGCCUGCUUUCGUCCUAUAUGCCGUACUCGUGUUGAUAUUUGUUUUUAUAUUAGUGUUUCUCUAUAUCCCAAUAUAUGGUCAGACACACAUAAUGUGCUACAUUGGAGUAUGCUCAUUAGUAGGCUCUUUGUCGGUCAUGAGUGUGAAAGCUGUUGGUAUUGCUUUGAAGCUUACGUUUUCAGGAAUGAACCAGCUAUUAUACCCCCAAACAUGGGUUUUUACCUUCAUUGUUCUCCUUUGUGUCAUCACUCAAAUGAAUUAUCUGAACAAGGCGCUUGACACAUUCAACACGGCUGUUGUCUCUCCCAUAUACUACACUAUGUUCACAUCUCUUACUAUCUUGGCCAGUGUAAUCAUGUUCAAGUUUUUAUUUUGAGCAGGAUUGGUCUGGGCAGAGUCCCACGCAGAUUGUCACGGAACUGUGUGGGUUUGUGACGAUCCUUUCCGGAACCUUUCUUCUUCACAAAACCAAAGACAUGGUUGACGGUCCAACGACAGUAUCAGGGCGAUCACCAAAGCGCAUAGCCGAAGAGGAUGACGAAGAUGGUGGUCAAGAGGGCAUCCCUUUGAGACGACAAGAUCUAAGAGUAUGAUUUAUGAAAUCAUAAUCCAUUUUUUGUGAUUCUUCUUUGAGGUUAGACUCGCGGACGCGCUCAUAUCACAAAUGUACUUCCUUAUCAAGCAUUUGAUGUCCUAUUCGUGGAUACCGGUUAGUAACAGGAAAGAAAGGAAAUUCUUUAGCUCGCGUCAUCUUUAGCUAGGAUGAAUAUCAGUUUUGGUAUACUUUUUUUUUUUUAUGUAAACUGUUAGCAGAUUAGUUUAAUACAAAAUGCAUCGAUUCUUUUUA